rnacentral:rRNA from 1 species
UACAGAGGUCCCAAGCGUUGUUCGGAUUCAUUGGGCGUAAAGGGUGCGUAGGCGGCGCGGUAAGUCGGGUGUGAAAUCUCGGAGCUUAACUCCGAAACUGCAUUCGAUACUGCCGUGCUUGAGGACUGGAGAGGAGACUGGAAUUUACGGUGUAGCGGUGAAAUGCGUAGAUAUCGUAAGGAAGACCAGUGGCGAAGGCGGGUCUCUGGACAGUACCUGACGCUGAGGCACGAAAGCGUGGGGAGCAAACAGG